rnacentral:tRNA from 1 species
GGGGCUGUAGCUCAGCUGGGAGAGCACAUGACUGGCAGUCAUGAGGUCAGGGGUUCGAGCCCCCUCAGCUCCA